GAUGAACGCUGGCGGCGUGCCUAAUACAUGCAAGUCGAGCGAACAGACGAGGAGCUUGCUCCUCUGACGUUAGCGGCGGACGGGUGAGUAACACGUGGAUAACCUACCUAUAAGACUGGGAUAACUUCGGGAAACCGGAGCUAAUACCGGAUAAUAUAUUGAACCGCAUGGUUCAAUAGUUAUAGGCGGUUUUCCUGUCACUUUUAGAUGAUUCCGCGCCGCAUUAGCUAGUUGGUAAGGUAACGGCUUACCAAGGCAACGAUGCGUAGCCGACCUGAGAGGGUGAUCGGCCACACUGGAACUGAGACACGGUCCAGACUCCUACGGGAGGCAGCAGUAGGGAAUAUUCCGCAAUGGGCGAAAGCCUGACGGAGCAACGCCGCGUGAGUGAUGAAGGUCUUCGGAUCGUAAAACUCUGUUAUUAGGGAAGAACAAAUGUGUAAGUAACUAUGCACGUCUUGACGGUACCUAAACAGAAAGCAACGGCUAACUACGUG
rnacentral:rRNA from 1 species